UUUCUAAAUCCCAUGUAGGCUUUUUAGGUCGCAAAGUUACCAAAUCUAGUUCUUCAACAGGAACAGAACUUUGUUCUUCAAUUUUUCUCUUAGUCUUUUCUUCAAUCUCCUUCGAUAAUGCUUCAACUGAUUCAAUCAUGUUUGGCGGUUCCACGAAUCCCAUUUUAGGUGCCUGCACUUCUGGAUCAUAAUUUCGAUGCUCAAUUACAUUUUUUUGAACCUCUUGAGAAUCGCGAGUUUUAUUCUCUAACUGCUUUAUUUUCCUCAAUUCCGCUAAUCUCUGUUUUCUGGACUCUGCUACCUCAUCUAAUGAAGACAUUUUUUGUUCCAAUACAAAAACACAAAAUUCGGAAAAACCACACUAUAAAACCAGAAUGAAUGUAGUAAGAUACUUUUUUUGUA